AAAGCAUCAGAACAAUAGGAGAGCAUUAUGGGGCACUAUCAAUUAACUUCUCAAUAAAAGGAUGAAACCUAAAUCCCUUUUCCAAUGAAUUCCUAAGCGACGGAUCACUUAUUUCUGUUUUUCACAGAAAGUGGACCUACUUUGGCAGAGAAAACCCCUGUGACUGAUGUAAAAGCCCAAUACAAUGUAUGAAUCUUGUCCCCAUCUAGCAGUUUUCAGUUAAACCCCUGUGACUGAUGUAAAAGCCCAAUACAAUGUAUGAAUCUUGUCCCCACCUGGCAGUUUUCAGUUAAACCCCUGUGACUGAUGUAAAAGCCCAAUACAAUGUAUGAAUCUUGUCCCCAUCUAGCAGUUUUCAGUUAAACCCCUGUGUUCUGUAAUGAGUUAUGUGACUUCUUAUUAUCUCUGAAAAACACAACCUCAGGUCACAACAGACUGAAUACUUAUGUUUUCAUUUGACAAAUGAUCUAAAAAAAACUGUUUUUCUCUUUUGUCAUUAUGGGGUAUUGUGACUUCAUGAUGGGGUAUUGUGAUGUCAUUAUGGGGUAUUGUGAUGUCAUUAUGGGGUAUUGUGAUGUCAUUAUGGGGUAUUGUGUGUAGAUUGAUGAGGAAGAAAAGUAAUUUAAUCAUUUUUAGAAUAAGGCUGUAACGUAACAAAAUGUGUAAAAAGUCAAGGGGUCUGAAUACUUUCCAGAGACUCUGUAAAGCACUGCUCUCAAGUCUCUAUGGUGCAACGACCUUCACAUUCAUCAGGUGCUGUAAUAUUACAUGGACCAGCACACAAUAUACUACUAUCAGUCUGUGGUCUGCAGAAACACUCUGUAAGAGUAACAUCGGCUGACGGUUUUACAAUCCAUUCAGCGUCACUUUUCAAACAAUUACAACUCCUGAAUAUUUAUCAAACAAACUUUCUUUCAGUUGCUCAUUUUUUCGUUUUUUUACAGCUCUUUAAAUCACUUAUUACCCUCUUUCUUCAAAAACAAUUCUUACCAUCAAAUCAUAUCAAAUCAAAUUGUAUUUGUCACAUGUGCCGAAUACAACAGGUGUAGUAGACCUUACAGUGAAAUGCUUACUUACCAACAAUGCUUUAAGAAGUUAAGAAAAACAUUAAAAAGUGUUAAGUAAAAAAUAAAUAAGUAAAAAAUGUCUGACACCGCUUGAUAUAGAGGUCCUGGAUGGCAGGAAGCCUUCCUCUGACACCGCCUGAUAUAGAGGUCCUGGAUGGCAGGAAGCCUUCCUCUGACACCGCCUGAUAUAGAGGUCCUGGAUGGCGGGAGCCUUCCUCUGACACCGCCUGAUAUAGAGGUCCUGGAUGGCGGGAGCCUUCCUCUGACACCGCCUGAUAUAGAGGUCCUGGAUGGCAGGAAGCCUUCCUCUGACACCGCCUGAUAUAGAGGUCCUGGAUGGCAGGAAGCCUUCCUCUGACACCGCCUGAUAUAGAGGUCCUGGAUGGAGGGAGCCUUCCUCUGACACCGCCUGAUAUAGAGGUCCUGGAUGGCGGGAGCCUUCCUCUGACACCGCCUGAUAUAGAGGUCCUGGAUGGCGGGAGCCUUCCUCUGACACCGCCUGAUAUAGAGGUCCUGGAUGGCGGGAGCCUUCCUCUGACACCGCCUGAUAUAGAGGUCCUGGAUGGCGGGAGCCUUCCUCUGACACCGCCUGAUAUAGAGGUCCUGGAUGGCGGGAGCCUUCCUCUGACACUGCCUGAUAUAGAGGUCCUGGAUGGCAGGAAGCUUGGCCCCAGUAGUACUGGGCAGUACGCACUACUCUCUUGAGUGCCUUGGGGUCGGAGGCCGUGCAGUUGCCAUACCAGAUGCAACCAAUCAGGAUGCUCUCGAUGGUGCAGCUGUAGAACCUUUUGAGGAUCAUAUAUGAAUUCCAUGACCACUCAACAAGAAACAGACAGUUCAAGAACUGACAGUCCACCCACAUUCAAGAACAACCACUUUUCAUGAUCACGAAUCAUGUACAGAGGCCCUGUGA